UGCGUAACACGUAUGCAAUCUACCUUUAACUGGGGAAUAACCCCUCGAAAGAGGGGCUAACACCGCAUAACACUUCGAUGGGACAUCCCAAUGAAGUCAAAUCUACGGAGGUUAAAGAUGAGCAUGCGUCCGAUUAGCUAGUUGGCGGGGUAACGGCCCACCAAGGCGACGAUCGGUAGGGGAUCUGAGAGGAUGAUCCCCCACACUGGUACUGAGACACGGACCAG
rnacentral:rRNA from 1 species